AUGGGCAAGAACCUGGCUUUUGAGAAUACCAUAACUAUGGAGGAAUUGAUCUGGUCGCAUGCAGUAAUAAAAAGACAUGAAUCCUUUUCCUCAGAUGGGAAAGAUGUUUGUGGCAUGGAUGGUAUGGAUAAUGUGCUGGAGGUUGAUGCGAGGGAGGAAGGAGCACGCGAAAGACUUAAUUUGUUCUUAUGAGGAUACAGUACUG
rnacentral:lncRNA from 1 species